GACGAACGCUGGCGGCGUGCUUAACACAUGCAAGUCGAACGGAAAGGCCCUGCUUUUGUGGGGUGCUCGAGUGGCGAACGGGUGAGUAACACGUGAGUAACCUGCCCUUGACUUUGGUAUAACUUCAGGAAACUGGGGCUAAUACCGGAUAGGAGCUCCUGCUGCAUGGUGGGGGUUGGAAAGUUUCGGCGGUUGGGGAUGGACUCGCGGCUUAUCAGCUUGUUGGUGGGGUAGUGGCUUACCAAGGCUUUGACGGGUAGCCGGCCUGAGAGGGUGACCGGCCACAUUGGGACUGAGAUACGGCCCAGACUCAUACGGGAGGCAGCAGUGGGGAAUAUUGCACAAUGGGCGGAAGCCUGAUGCAGCAACGCCGCGUGCGGGAUGACGGCCUUCGGGUUGUAAACCGCUUUCGCCUGUGACGAAGCGUGAGUGACGGUAAUGGGUAAAGAAGCACCGGCUAACUACGUG
rnacentral:rRNA from 1 species